rnacentral:lncRNA from 1 species
UGUUGGUACAGUCUUUAUUAUGAAGGAUACAAGGUAGAAAGAGCCAGAUGGAAGAGAAGCACAGGACAAGGUAUCGUGGAGGAGGAACAGCAUUUCUUCCCUCUGGAGGAUGUACCAUUCAGAGAACCACCUCAAAUGUGGAAACCAGGCCCUUGUCAGACACCAGACCUGAACACACCUUGACCCUGGAUUUCCUAGGCUCUAGAACUGUGAGAACGAAAUUUCUGUUUUUUAUAAAUUACCUAACCUCAGGACCUCUGUCAUCGCAGCAUAAAUGAACUAAGACAAGUAGACUAAGAGAAUGAAUACAAGCAAGAUAUAAAAUAUUAGAGGGUUGCAUGGCACAUGGAAAAUGAUAACACUGAAUAACUACACAACUAAUAAUGUAUGUAAUUUGUAAUAACUACAAAACCUGUAUAAAUAAAGGUACCUAAGAAUUUUCCUAGCCGAGAUUAUCAGUUUACCCUAGGCUCCCAAAGCUGCCUAGCAUGGUGAAAC